CUUAGAAGCAGCCAUCAUUUAAAGAAAGCGUAAUAGCUCACUGGUCGAGUCGGCCUGCGCGGAAGAUGUAACGGGGCUAAACCAUGCACCGAAGCUGCGGCAGCGACACUGUGUGUUGUUGGGUAGGGGAGCGUUCUGUAAGCCUGCGAAGGUGGCCUGUGAGGGUUGCUGGAGGUAUCAGAAGUGCGAAUGCUGACAUAAGUAACGAUAAAGCGGGUGAAAAGCCCGCUCGCCGGAAGACCAAGGGUUCCUGUCCAACGUUAAUCGGGGCAGGGUGAGUCGACCCCUAAGGCGAGGCCGAAAGGCGUAGUCGAUGGGAAACGGGUUAAUAUUCCCGUACUUGGUGUUACUGCGAAGGGGGGACGGAGAAGGCUAUGUUGGCCGGGCGACGGUUGUCCCGGUUUAAGCGUGUAGGUGUGUGUUCCAGGUAAAUCCGGUUCACUUUAACACUGAGGCGUGACGACGAGGCACUACGGUGCUGAAGCAACAAAUGCCCUGCUUCCAGGAAAAGCCUCUAAGCAUCAGGUAACAUCAAAUCGUACCCCAAACCGACACAGGUGGUCAGGUAGAGAAUACCAAGGCGCUUGAGAGAACUCGGGUGAAGGAACUAGGCAAAAUGGUGCCGUAACUUCGGGAGAAGGCACGCUGACACGUAGGUGAAGUGAUUUACUCAUGGAGCUGAAGUCAGUCGAAGAUACCAGCUGGCUGCAACUGUUUAUUAAAAACACAGCACUGUGCAAACACGAAAGUGGACGUAUACGGUGUGACGCCUGCCCGGUGCCGGAAGGUUAAUUGAUGGGGUCAGCGCAAGCGAAGCUCCUGAUCGAAGCCCCGGUAAACGGCGGCCGUAACUAUAACGGUCCUAAGGUAGCGAAAUUCCUUGUCGGGUAAGUUCCGACCUGCACGAAUGGCGUAAUGAUGGCCAGGCUGUCUCCACCCGAGACUCAGUGAAAUUGAACUCGCUGUGAAGAUGCAGUGUACCCGCGGCAAGACGGAAAGACCCCGUGAACCUUUACUAUAGCUUGACACUGAACAUUGAGCCUUGAUGUGUAGGAUAGGUGGGAGGCUUUGAAGUGUGGACGCCAGUCUGCAUGGAGCCGACCUUGAAAUACCACCCUUUAAUGUUUGAUGUUCUAACGUGGACCCGUUACCCGGGUUGCGGACAGUGUCUGGUGGGUAGUUUGACUGGGGCGGUCUCCUCCUAAAGAGUAACGGAGGAGCACGAAGGUUGGCUAAUCCUGGUCGGACAUCAGGAGGUUAGUGCAAUGGCAUAAGCCAGCUUGACUGCGAGCGUGACGGCGCGAGCAGGUGCGAAAGCAGGUCAUAGUGAUCCGGUGGUUCUGAAUGGAAGGGCCAUCGCUCAACGGAUAAAAGGUACUCCGGGGAUAACAGGCUGAUACCGCCCAAGAGUUCAUAUCGACGGCGGUGUUUGGCACCUCGAUGUCGGCUCAUCACAUCCUGGGGCUGAAGUAGGUCCCAAGGGUAUGGCUGUUCGCCAUUUAAAGUGGUACGCGAGCUGGGUUUAGAACGUCGUGAGACAGUUCGGUCCCUAUCUGCCGUGGGCGCUGGAGAACUGAGGGGGGCUGCUCCUAGUACGAGAGGACCGGAGUGGACGCAUCACUGGUGUUCGGGUUGUCAUGCCAAUGGCACUGCCCGGUAGCUAAAUGCGGAAGAGAUAAGUGCUGAAAGCAUCUAAGCACGAAACUUGCCCCGAG
rnacentral:rRNA from 3 species